CACAAGCAGUGGAGUAUGUGGUUUAAUUCGACGCAACGCGAAGAACCUUACCAGGGCUUGACAUCCUCUGACGACGUAAGAGAUUACGUUUUCCCUUCGGGGACAGAGAGACAGGUGGUGCAUGGUUGUCGUCAGCUCGUGUCGUGAGAUGUUGGGUUAAGUCCCGCAACGAGCGCAACCCCUAUUGUCAGUUGCCAGCAUGAAAGAUGGGCACUCUGGCGAGACUGCCGUUGACAAAACGGAGGAAGGUGGGACGACGUCAAAUCAUCAUGCCCCUUAUGUCCUGGGCUACACACGUACUACAAUGGCAACAACAGAGGGCAGCCAAACCGCGAGGUUGAGCGAAUCCCAAAAUGUUGUCUCAGUUCAGAUUGCAGGCUGAAGCUCGCCUGCAUGAAGUCGGAAUUGCUAGUAAUGGCAGGUCAGCAUACUGCCGUGAAUACGUUCCCGGGCCUU
rnacentral:rRNA from 1 species